CAUGCAGUCGACGGUAACGCGGGGCAACCUGGCGACGAGUGGCGAACGGGUGAGUAAUACAUCGGAACGUGCCCAGUAGUGGGGGAUAGCCCGGCGAAAGCCGGAUUAAUACCGCAUACGACCUACGGGUGAAAGGGGGGGAUCGCAAGACCUCUCGCUAUUGGAGCGGCCGAUGUCAGAUUAGGUAGUUGGUGGGGUAAAGGCCUACCAAGCCAACGAUCUGUAGCUGGUCUGAGAGGACGACCAGCCACACUGGGACUGAGACACGGCCCAGACUCCUAUGGGAGGCAGCAGUGGGGAAUUUUGGACAAUGGGCGCAAGCCUGAUCCAGCCAUGCCGCGUGCGGGAAGAAGGCCUUCGGGUUGUAAACCGCUUUUGUCAGGGAAGAAACGCUCCAGGAUAAUACCUUGGGGUAAUGACGGUACCUGAAGAAUAAGCACCGGCUAACUACGUGCCAGCAGCCGCGGUAAUACGUAGGGUGCAAGCGUUAAUCGGAAUUACUGGGCGUAAAGCGUGCGCAGGCGGUUUUGUAAGACAGAGGUGAAAUCCCCGGGCUUAACCUGGGAACUGCCUUUGUGACUGCAAAGCUUGAGUGCGGCAGAGGGGGAUGGAAUUCCGCGUGUAGCAGUGAAAUGCGUAGAUAUGCGGAGGAACACCGAUGGCGAAGGCAAUCCCCUGGGCCUGCACUGACGCUCAUGCACGAAGCGUGGGGAGCAA
rnacentral:rRNA from 1 species